CAGAGGAUAGCUCAGUGGUUAAGACGUUGGAUUUCUGAUCAGAAGGUUGUGAGUUCAAAUCCCCGCUUCACCAA